rnacentral:lncRNA from 1 species
UUGUGGUGAAGGAAAAUAGUUUAUAGCAUUUAAAAUAUAUAUUUAGGUGUUUUCACAAACAAUUAAGCCUAAUAACCCUUGACACUGAAUGGUAUUAAAAGCCAUGUAGACUAUUGUAGCCUGGGCACCAGUCUGUCUGUCCUGUAGGUUUGUAGCCUGGGUAUCAGUCUCUGUCAUCAUGAGUUACAAUGAGUUGACAUGAUGGCACAAACAGAUCUGGGACGAGGCUAGUAUGAUUGUAGCAAUAUAGUUUUAUGUGAACCUAAAAUCAACGUAGAUCGUAGUAGUAAGACUGUAGUGUGUGUGCGUCAGUAAGGAACUCAUUAUGAAUGAAAAACAAAGACACAGCCUGAUAUCUGAUUAAAUCUAUCUUUAGAAAGUAUUGUCCAUGGGUUUACUCUAUAUAAACUCAAUUCACAUUACAUUCCCAGAUUAAAGAAUAUGUUUCUUAUAACAUAUAGCCACUGCUUGAAAAUAUAAUCAAAUAAAUAAAAGUGCAUAGAGAGAAAAACAAUCUUUUGUGUCUAAGUGCAAUAAGCUAUAACUUCAGAUAUAUAUUAUGACAUCUGCAAUAAGAUAUCAAUUCAGUUUAAAACAGCUCACACCUUACUUUGUGACAUUUUGGUGACACAAUCAAAGCUAUUGUCACAGACAGGUGAUGCAUAAAAAGGGGGCAGGGUAUAAGAAUUUUAGUAGGGAUGGAGGGAAGAAGGGAGGGGGAGGGAAGAAGGGAGGAGUGGAAGGAGGGAAAGAUAAAAGGAGGAAUGGAAGGAGAGGGAAUGAGGGAGAAGUGUAAGGAGGGAAAGAUAAAAGGAGGAAUGGAAGGAGAGGGAACAAGGGAGGGAUAAAGGACAGGAAAUGGAAAGAUGUAUUGAGGGAAGUCAGGAAAGGACAGGAAGAAGGAUGGACAGUGUUUAAAAGGAGGGGUGAGACUUUGUCCCUCUACUCUUCCGGCAGGGUUCCGUUGAUGUCCUCCGGAGGCGGGGUGGACGAGAACAGAGGCUCCUCCUCUUCUGGAACGUUGUUUGUGUUCUCAGAAUUCCCAACAUUCCCACCAUUCCCUUCAUUAUUCCCAGCUCUGCUCCUCCGGCUCCCAGCCCCACUGAGGCUGACAUUCCCAAUGCUCCCCACGCGACGAGGACUGCUGCUGAAAGAUGACUCCCCUCCUCCUCCUCGCCUGGGAAGGACGGGAAUGUCGAGGAAAUAUUGGAAUUAGAGGCAGAGGGAAGAGGCAGAAUAGAAGGCCGUAUUGGAGGAAGAGAAGAAAAAGUUAGAAUUUGGAGAGGGAAGAAGAAGAGAUGCCAGAAUCAGACAGAGAGGAAAUGAAAUGAGUUGAGUUAGAGGUAUAGUUGGUUUCCAGAGCCAUGUAAGAAACAUGUCUCUGGAUGGUUGGGGUUAGACCUUAAACACUGUUAAAGAGCUGGAAGAAAAGGCUGCUAUAGAAGAGGAGGGUUUAGAGGUGAAGACAGAGGAUGAAUGAGAGACCAAGGGUUAGCUAACGUCUGGGGAGUUUAAGUUGAGGAUGAGAUUGAGGAAGAGUUUGAGGAAGAAUUUAAGGAAGAAUUUGAGGAAGAGUCUGAGGAAGAGUUUAAGGAAGAAUUUGAAGAAGGGUUUGAGAAAGUGUCAUCAGAAAAAGAAGUAGAAUUAGCUGCAGAGUUGCUGUAGAUUCCCAAGUCAAGUAAUGAUGUGAGUAUCAAGUUGAUUGCCGAAGUAACGAUGACUCAGCAAGAGGCAGACAGAGAGGGCUAGUUAAUAUCUAAAGGACAGGUUUGAAGCGGUGUCAGAGUCAGAUUCGGAGUCAGAGACAGAAGAGGAAGAGGAAGAGGAAGAACAUCAACAUCAUAUACGGUCUUGUUUUGGCUUGUCUUCGGCCAGGUGUAGAGUUAUAUUGUCUGCUAUAUACAGGUCAGGUGUAGUGUGUUGUAUUUAAGUGAUAAUGCCCAAGAAGCCGUUACUGGCUGGCAACGUUCUUAUCCCUUGCUAGCUAGCUAGCCAACUACUGCUAAUUUACAUGCUGACCCCACCGCUUGUGCCACGAGCGUUGCAAAAUAAAUGUACACAUACAUGUUAUUCAAUCAUUUAAUCCAAACUGCUCGCGAG